rnacentral:lncRNA from 1 species
UAAAAUAACAAGUUUAUUUAUAGAAAAUACUUUACACUGACUGUACACAUGCACACACCCACACAGUACCGAGCCACACGGGGGCCCUUUUAAUCAGCCUAGCACAACAUUACAGUUUACAGGAGAGUUCUCGAAGACACAAUGGGGAAAGCUUUGUCAUCGAUUUAUAAACCUCCAGAAAUUACAAAGAAAGGCAGUCUGAAAAGUAUAUAGAAAGAGUAAAAACAAUUACAAGUGGACAAGAAUUACAAAAUAGUAGCCAUCAAAUACAUCCGUCAGCAGCUCUGUGGUCCGUGGGGUAGGGGGCGGGGUGGGGGCGUGUUCCGUGUGGCCCUGUGUGUUCUGGGGGCUGGGGCUGGGGGCUCCUGCCAGGCAGAGCAAGAGAGCAGAGGCCCGAGGGCCUCGCACUGCAACACGGAGAUGGGGAGCAGCUCGGCCGGCUGGGCACUGGCACUCCCCAGCGGCACCUGCUCUCCCCUCGGCUCUUGUGAGGAAUCGGCUAGGUGAGGUGUGUGUGCAUGCAUGUGCAUGUGAAUAUGCGACUGUGCGACUAUAAGCGUGUGUGUGGCCACGUGUGUGUGCACGUGUGACUGCAUGUGUGUGACUGCAUGUGUGUGGCCACGUGUGUGUGCACGUGUAACUGCAUGUGUGUGCGUGUGUAUGCAUAUGCAUUGUGUGACUGCAUGUGUUAACCACAUGUGUGCACGUGCAUGUGUGACUGCAUGUGUGUGACUGUGCAUGUAUGUAACUGUGAGUAUGCAUGUGUUGUGUGUGCACAUGUGCAUUGUGUACGGCCGCAUGUGUGUGUGCAUUGUGACUGCAUGUGUGUUGAGCACAUUGCACAUGUGUGUGACCGCAUGUGUGUGCAUGUGCAUUGUGUGACUGUGCAUGUGUGUGACUGUGCAUGUAUGUGACUGCAUGUGUUGUGUGUGCACAUGUGCAUUGUGACUGUGCAUGUGUUGACGUGUGUAUGUGCGUGUGUGACUGUGCAUGUGUGUGACUAUGUGCAUGUAUGUGACUGUGCAUGUGUUGUGUGUGCACAUGUGUGCAUGUGUGAUGUGUGUGCACAUGUGCAUUGUGUACGGCCGCAUGUGUGUGUGCAUUGUGACUGCAUGUGUGUUGAGCACAUUGCACAUGUGUGUGACCGCAUGUGUGUGCAUGUGCAUUGUGUGACUGUGCAUGUGUGUGACUAUGUGCAUGUAUGUGACUGUGCAUGUGUUGUGUGUGCACAUGUGCAUUGUGUAUGGCCGCAUGUGUGUGUGCAUUGUGACUGCAUGUGUGUUGAGCACAUUGCACAUGUGUGUGACCGCAUGUGUGUGCAUGUGCAUUUGUGUGACUGUGCAUGGUGUGUGACUAUGUGCAUGUAUGUGACUGUGCAUGUGUUGUGUGUGCACAUGUGCAUUGUGUACGGCCGCAUGUGUGUGUGCAUU